rnacentral:rRNA from 1 species
AACGAACGCUGGCGGCAUGCCUAACACAUGCAAGUCGAACGAGACCUUCGGGUCUAGUGGCGCACGGGUGCGUAACGCGUGGGAACCUGCCCUUAGGUUCGGAAUAACUCCCCGAAAGGGGUGCUAAUACCGGAUAAUGUCUUCGGACCAAUGAUUUAUCGCCUUUGGAUGGGCCCGCGUUGGAUUAGCUAGUUGGUAGGGUAAAAGCCUACCAAGGCGACGAUCCAUAGCUGGUCUGAGAGGAUGAUCAGCCACACUGGGACUGAGACACGGCCCAGACUCCUACGGGAGGAAGCAGUGGGGAAUAUUGGACAAUGGGCGAAAGCCUGAUCCAGCAAUGCCGCGUGAGUGAUGAAGGCCUUAGGGUUGUAAAGCUCUUUUACCCGGGAUGAUAAUGACAGUACCGGGAGAAUAAGCUCCGGCUAACUCCGUG